rnacentral:pre_miRNA from 1 species
GGUUAGUGCACUUAGCGAGUUCACAAGACCUAUUUUAUGGUACGAACUGAGUGCAUGAUGAUUUAUGAAGUCUAUUGGGGCUUACCAUAAGACAGUGCCAUGAAUUCGCAAAGCGUUCAAACC